rnacentral:lncRNA from 1 species
AUGGAGCAGACAGCCACACCUGGGGGCCCAGGGCUCCCCUGUAGCCACAGGCAGGCCCUGGCCCUCUACCAGCACCUCUUUGGAUGCCCUGCAGGCCUGGGCCAGCUCCAGGCUGCGCUGCGGCAGGUGAGGGAGGUAGGGCAAUGCCACGGAAGGGCAAGGCCAAGGCCUGACUCCAUCUCAUCCCCUCAGGUGCAAGAGAGUCGGGCCUGUCGCUCAGGACUGGAGCUGCCCACUGUGUUGCUGGAGAUGGAGCGGAGCCGGCGGGCCCAGGAGCAGCUCCUGUGGGACUUGGAGCUGCUGACUGGGGCAGGGCUGAGGCUCUUCUGGCCCCCCUGGGCCCAGUGCUGCGGUCUGAGGGACCAGGCCCAGUGUGCAUGGAGCCAGCGCGGCCAGCCCCACGGUAGGACGGGCGGGGGCCCUGAGCAGCUGACCACCUGGGUGAGCAGGGGCUUGGCUGAAGGCAAGGGAGGUCCAUGUGACGUCGGGGUGACGGUGGUGGCAAGGGAAGCGGAAGGAGUAUGGGCUUCGGACCCAGGUGGGCCUGGGUUCUGUCUCUGUUCUGAUGCUCGCUGGGGACCGUAAGCCUCUGUUCCCUCAACUGCAAAAUGGGGAAGAUAAUCGAUCUUACUCAAAGGGAGCACUGGUGAACUCACCCCUGUAAAGGGUUUAGCCCGGUGCCUGGCGCAUGGGACCUGCUCAUUACAUACAGGCUGCUGUUACCGUUCCACGAGUAAUGACGAUCUUGGUCAAAUCAAUGGCAUGGGGACAUCUCGAAGGCUUUAUUUUUAUUUAUUUAUUUAUUUGGUGAAUUUUUUAAAAAGAUUUUAUUUAUUUAUUUGACAGAGAGAGAGACAGCCAGCAAGAGAGGGGAACACAAGCAGGGGGAGUGGGAGAGGAAGAAGCAGGUUCCCAGCAGAGGAGCCUGAUGUGGGGCUCGAUCCCAUAACACCGGGAUCACGCCCUGAGCUGAAGGCAGACGCUUAACGACUGAGCCACCCAGGUGCCCCUCGAAGGCUUUAAGCAUGGCUGCAACAUGGGAAGAAAGCAAGCCUGGCAUGGCUCCUGAGGGCAGAGGCACUGAUGUCCAGGGUCCACGGACCCCUCCCCCCAGGGCUGGUGGCUGGGCUGGCGCCUCUAGGAGGGAGUGUGCUAUGGUGAGGGGGACUGUGUCUCCCAGUCCCGUCUCAAUCACCAAUCGUCCGAGGCACUUUGGGCAGGUUCGCAGCCCUCUCUGAGAGCUGAGGCAUCCUCAGCUGUAGCAAGAGGGGGUGAGUGGUGACCGCUAAGGGAGGGUCCAGCUGACAUUGUUGGCCAGAACUGCAGUCUCAUCUGAAGGCUCGAAUGGGCAAGAGCGAUCCAUUUCCUCACAAGGAGGGGAAGAGAGCAGGGUCAUACGUGAGCAUGGAUACCAGGAGGAGGAUGAUUGGGGGCCAUCUUAAAGGCUGCUCACCACACUGGGGGAUGAUGCCCUGUGGACUAGGGCACCUUCUAAUUUUCCAGAGUUCCAGGCUGUGCCCAUUGGCCCGGGCUGGGGACUCUCUGAGCCAGAACCAUCAGCUUCCAGAAGGGUGAGUCUUUCUUC